rnacentral:piRNA from 1 species
UCACGUGGCAUGCAUUUCUUCUCAGUGG